GUUCUGACGAUUUGUGCUACCCAUCGAUAUGUGCUACUUACUGGUUAUGCGCAUGUGCAGACUCACAGUUUUGUUCUGCGUUACCACGCCCAUAAAUCUAUGCAUCCUUGCUGUGGAGACUUGACGGGAAUGCAGAUGAUUACUGCGUUGUAUGCUCCUUGCUUGAAAAAGAUGCAGAUCAGAGCAUGAUUGAAAUGGUGCAGUGUGAUUUGUGCUGUAGGUGGGCACAUUUUCAAUGUGCCAAAUAUGAAAAAGAUAGUUGUGCAACAUAUACGUGCAAAAAGUGCCAGAGUGUGUGAAAUGUGUACAAAGUAGGUAGCAG